rnacentral:rRNA from 1 species
GAUGAACGCUAGCUACAGGCUUAACACAUGCAAGUCGAGGGGUAACGAGAGGAAAGCUUGCUUUCCUUGUCGACGACCGGCGCACGGGUGAGUAACGCGUAUCCAACCUGCCCCCAACUAAGGAAUAACCUUGCGAAAGUAAGACUAAUACCUUAUAAUUUCCUCAGAUGUCAUCUGACGAGGAAUAAAGAUUUAUCGGUUGUGGAUGGGGAUGCGUCUGAUUAGCUUGUUGGCGGGGUAACGGCCCACCAAGGAAACGAUCAGUAGGGGUUCUGAGAGGAAGGUCCCCCACAUUGGAACUGGGACGCGGGCCAAACUCCUACGGGAGGCAGCAGUGAGGAAUAUUGGUCAAUGGGCGAAAGCCUGAACCAGCCAAGUAGCGUGCAGGAUGACGGCCCUAUGGGUUGUAAACUGCUUUUAUACAGGAAUAAAGUUAGCCACGUGUGGUUAUUUGUAGGUACUGUAUGAAUAAGGACCGGCUAAUUCCGUGCCAGCCGCCGCAGUAA